rnacentral:rRNA from 1 species
UACAGAGGGUGCGAGCGUUAAUCGGAAUUACUGGGCGUAAAGCGUGCGUAGACGGUUAUUUAAGUCGGAUGUGAAAGCCCCGGGCUCAACCUGGGAAUUGCAUUCGAGACUGAAUAGCUAGGGUGCGGUAGAGGGAAGUGGAAUUUCCGGUGUAGCGGUGAAAUGCGUAGAUAUCGGAAGGAACAUCAGUGGCGAAAGCGACUUCCUGGACCAGUACCGACGUUCAGGCACGAAAGCGUGGGGAGCAAACAGG